AGGGCGUUUCUCACUGGGUGGCUGCUAGCACGUGCUCACGUGACACAGGAAGUACGACAAGCUGACCCUGCCAAGUAAACAUUCUAGUCUCAGACAAAGGAGCCUCAGUUCCGGCUUCCACUUCCUUCCCUUGUGGCGCCUUUUCAGGGUGUGGAGUAACUGCCAACGAUCCUCAGGGAGGUGGGCGGAGCACAGGACGAGGCAGAGGGGCUUCCCAAGCCUCCUCCCUCCAUGACAGGAUGUUGAUCUGCCCAAGACCGUACAGACAGUCACCACUGCUGAGUCAGUUCCGUUUUUUUCUCUGUCGUCUUCCCAAGUCCCCCAGGGAAUCGAACUCAGAUCAACAGGCUUGGAA